ensembl:lncRNA
GUGUAUGUGGGGAGGUGUUAUAGAUUUGUCCAGUUGAGGGUUAUGUGUAUGUGGGGAGGGGGGUUAUAGAUUUGUCCAGUUGAGGGUUGUGUGUGUAUGUGUGGAGGGGUUAUAGAUUUGUCCAGUUGAGGGUUGUGUGUGUAUGUGGGGAGGGGUUAUAGAUUUGUCCAGUUGAGGGUUGUGUGUAUGUGGGGAGGGGGGUUAUAGAUUUGUCCAGUUGAGGGUUAUGUGUAUGUGUGGAGGGGUUAUAGAUUUGUCCAGUUGAGGGUUAUGUGUGUAUGUGGGGAGGGGUUAUAGAUUUGUCCAGUUGAGGGUUAUGUGUAUGUGGGGAGGGGUUAUAGAUUUGUCCAGUUGAGGGUUGUGUGUAUGUGGGGAGGGGUUAUAGAUUUGUCCAGUUGAGGGUUGUGUGUGUAUGUGUGGAGGGGUUAUAGAUUUGUCCAGUUGAGGGUUGUGUGUGUAUGUGGGGAGGGGUUAUAGAUUUGUCCAGUUGAGGGUUGUGUGUAUGUGGGGAGGGGUUAUAGAUUUGUCCAGUUGAGGGUUGUGUGUGUAUGUGGGGAGGGGUUAUAGAUUUGUCCAGUUGAGGGUUAUGUGUAUGUGGGGAGGGG